GCCUCUGUGGCGCAAUUGGUUAGCGCGUUCGGCUGUUAACCGGAAGGCUGGUGGUCCGAUGCCACCCAGGGGCG
rfam:Daphnia pulex DAPPTscaffold_31_Cont1818, whole genome shotgun sequence.